UGCGUAGGCGGACUAAUAAGUCAGUGGUGAAAUCUUUCGGCUCAACCGAGAAACUGCCAUUGAUACUGUUAGCCUUGAGUUCGGUUGAGGUAGGCGGAAUGUGUAAUGUAGCGGUGAAAUGCUUAGAUAUUACACAGAACACCAAUUGCGUAGGCAGCUUACUGGACCGACACUGACGCUGAGGCACGAAAGCGUGGGGAGCGAACAGGAUUAGAUACCCUGGUAGUCC
rnacentral:rRNA from 1 species